rnacentral:rRNA from 1 species
UACGUAGGGGCCGAGCGUUGUCCGGAGUUAUUGGGCGUAAAGCGCGCGCAGGCGGCCUCGCGCGCCCGACGUGAAAGCCCCCGGCUUAACCGGGGAAGGGGCGCCGAUACGGCCGGCCUGGAGGGACGUAGGGGGGGCUGGAACUUCCGGUGGAGCGGUGAAAUGCGUUGAGAUCGGAAGGAACGCCCGUGGCGAAAGCGCGUCCCUGGACCCCGCCUGACGCUGAGACGCGAAAGCCAGGGGAGCAAACGGG